AUACAGAGGGUGCGAGCGUUAAUCGGAAUUACUGGGCGUAAAGCGCGCGUAGGCGGUCUAUUAAGUCAGAUGUGAAAUCCCAGGGCUCAACCUUGGAACUGCAUCUGAUACUGGUAGACUAGAGUUUUGGAGAGGGAAGUAGAAUUUCAGGUGUAGCGGUGAAAUGCAUAGAGAUCUGAAGGAAUACCAGUGGCGAAGGCGACUUCCUGGCCAAAAACUGACGCUGAGGUGCGAAAGCGUGGGUAGCAAACGGGAUUAGAAACCCCUGUAGUCC
rnacentral:rRNA from 1 species